GUCAGGUGCAGUGAUGCACACCUGUAAUCCCAGCAGCUUGGGAGGCUGAGAUAGGAGAAUCACAAGUUAUUAAAAUCAUUGCUAAGCUAGCUUUAGCAGUGGUACGAUGCCAGGCAAUUCAGUGAGACCUUGUCUCUA
rnacentral:sRNA from 1 species